rnacentral:rRNA from 1 species
GAUGAACGCUGGCGGCGUGCUUAACACAUGCAAGUCGAACGGUGAAGCAGAGCUUGCUCUGUGGAUCAGUGGCGAACGGGUGAGUAACACGUGAGCAACCUGCCCCUGACUCUGGGAUAAGCGCUGGAAACGGCGUCUAAUACUGGAUAUGAGCUGCGACCGCAUGGUCAGCAGUUGGAAAGAUUUUUCGGUCUGGGAUGGGCUCACGGCCUAUCAGCUUGUUGGUGAGGUAAUGGCUCGCCAAGGCGUCGACGGGUAGCCGGCCUGAGAGGGUGACCGGCCACACUGGGACUGAGACACGGCCCAGACUCCUACGGGAGGCAGCAGUGGGGAAUAUUGCACAAUGGGCGAAAGCCUGAUGCAGCAACGCCGCGUGAGGGAUGACGGCUUUCGGGUUGUAAACCUCUUUUAGCAGGGAAGAAGCGAAAGUGACGGUACCUGCAGAAAAAGCGCCGGCUAACUACGUG